rfam:Ovis aries breed Texel chromosome 2, whole genome shotgun sequence.
UCCCUGGUGGCUCAGAUGGUAAAGCAUCUGCCUGCAUUGCAGAAGACCAGGGUUUGAUUCCUGGGUCUGGGAG